GCCAGUGUGGGGUAGUGCUAUGAGUGUUGGACUACAACUCUGAAGACCAGGGUUCGAUUCCCAGCUUGGCCA
rnacentral:tRNA from 1 species